rnacentral:rRNA from 1 species
AGGCAGCAGCCGCGGUAAUCCUACGGGAGGCAGCAGUGGGGAAUAUUGCACAAUGGGCGCAAGCCUGAUGCAGCCAUGCCGCGUGUAUGAAGAAGGCCUUCGGGUUGUAAAGUACUUUCAGCGGGGAGGAAGGUGCUGAGGUUAAUAACCUCAGCAAUUGACGUUACCCGCAGAAGAAGCACCGGCUAACUCCGUGCCAGCAGCCGCGGUAAU